UACGAAGGGGGCUAGCGUUGCUCGGAAUUACUGGGCGUAAAGCGCACGUAGGCGGGUCGCUAAGUCGGGGGUGAAUCCUGGAGCUCAACUCCAGAACUGCCUUCGAAACUGACGAUCUUGAGUUCGGGAGAGGUGAGUGGAACUGCGAGUGUAGAGGUGAAAUUCGUAGAUAUUCGCAAGAACACCAGUGGCGAAGGCGGCUCACUGGCCCGAUACUGACGCUGAGGUGCGAAGGCGUGGGGAGCA
rnacentral:rRNA from 1 species